AUGUACCACUCGUACACUCCGGUUCCUGUGCGCCGCCCGCACCCACCUGACGACUGCUCCUUCGUCAGCG
rnacentral:sRNA from 1 species